GAUGAACGCUCGCUACAGGCUUAACACAUGCAAGUCGAGGGGAAACGACAUCGAAAGCUUGCUUUUGAUGGGCGUCGACCGGCGCACGGGUGAGUAACGCGUAUCCAACCUGCCCAUCACUUGGGAAUAACCUUGCGAAAGUAAGACUAAUACCCAAUGAUAUCCCACGAAGGCAUCGGAAUGGGAUUAAAGAUUUAUCGGUGAUGGAUGGGGAUGCGUCUGAUUAGCUUGUUGGCGGGGUAACGGCCCACCAAGGCAACGAUCAGUAGGGGUUCUGAGAGGAAGGUCCCCCACAUUGGAACUGAGACACGGUCCAAACUCCUACGGGAGGCAGCAGUGAGGAAUAUUGGUCAAUGGGCGAGAGCCUGAACCAGCCAAGUAGCGUGCAGGAAGACGGCCCUAUGGGUUGUAAACUGCUUUUAUAAGGGAAUAAAGUGGGUCACGUGUGACUUUUUGCAUGUACCUUAUGAAUAAGGACAGGCUAAUUCCGUG
rnacentral:rRNA from 1 species